UGGGGAAUAUUGGACAAUGGGCGAAAGCCUGAUCCAGCCAUGCCGCGUGAGUGAUGAAGGCCUUAGGGUUGUAAAGCUCUUUCGCCAGGGACGAUAAUGACGGUACCUGGAUAAGAAGCCCCGGCUAACUUCGUGCCAGCAGCCGCGGUAAUACGAAGGGGGCUAGCGUUGUUCGGAAUCACUGGGCGUAAAGCGCAUGCAGGCGGAUCGUUAAGUCGGGGGUGAAAGCCCGAGGCUCAACCUCGGAACUGCCUUCGAUACUGGCGAUCUUGAGUCCGGGAGAGGUGAGUGGAACUCCGAGUGUAGAGGUGAAAUUCGUAGAUAUUCGGAAGAGCACCAGUGGCGAAGGCGGCUCACUGGCCCGGUACUGACGCUGAGAUGCGAAAGCGUGGGGAGCAAAC
rnacentral:rRNA from 1 species